GACGAACGCUGGCGGCGUGCUUAACACAUGCAAGUCGAACGGAAAGGCCCUGCUUUUGUUGGUUGCUCGAGUGGCGAACGGGUGAGUAACACGUGAGUAACCUGCCCUUGACUUUGUGAUAACUUCAGGAAACUGGGGCUAAUACCGGAUAGGAGCUCCUGCUGCAUGGUGGGGGUUGGAAAGUUUCGGCGUUUGUGGAUGGACUCGCGGCUUAUCAGCUUGUUGGUGGGGUAGUGGCUUACCAGGGCUUUGACGGGUAGCCGGCCUGGGAGGGUGACCGGCCACAUUGGGACUGAGAGACGGACCAGAAUCCUACGGGAGGCAGCAGUGGGGAAUCUUGCACAAUGGGGGGAAGCCUGAUGCAGCAACGCCGCGUGCGGGAUAACGGCCUUCGGGUUGUAAACCGAUUUCGCCUGUGACGAAGAGUGAGUGACGGUAAUGGGUAAAGAAGCAACGGCUAACUACGUG
rnacentral:rRNA from 1 species